rnacentral:lncRNA from 1 species
GUAAACGGAACUUACAGAAUCGGCCGGAGAUCGUGUCGAUGCAGCACUGCCAACCCGUACGAACUCGUGAAAGAAGAAAAUUAUUGGCGAAGUCGCCGACUUGAAAGUAAUGUACGAGGAAAAAGUAGAUUUGUAUUGAUUGAUGUGUUGUUUACAAAUCUCUAAAGAUGGCUAUUUAUAGCCUAUUACAACUAAUUUCCUAACCGACUAGGGUCUAUCUCUAAUUUUAAACGAAAACGAAUAUUUACAAGCACAACUCGCAUCGGAGUUGGUUAUUGUACUCCCACGGGCCAAUCUUUCUCUAUCCUUUUUCUCUGAUCCAUUUUAAGCCCAUAUUGGCCCAAUCGCUCCAGCCUUCCAAUCGGCCGAUCUCCAUCCGCCAAAACACUGUAGCGCCAAUCGGCCGAUUCUCAGCUGUAGCACCAAUCGGUCGAUUCCCAGUCGUGACCUUUUAAUCUGCCACAACGGCCAAUCUUUUCUCCCCUUGACGCCGAUUCCAUAUGUGUCAAAAUCUGGCAUCAACACAUGCCCCCAAGUUUCGGAGUAAAACAUAACUUUUACUUCGAAAUUCUUUUUAAACUUCUCCUCCGAAACAACACAUCAAAAAUCUCCUUCCGUUUCGCGGUCUCCUACCUGAUGAUUGCAAUCUUUUCGAAACGGGUGUCUGAGACAACCGCUCCCCCAAAAUUCGUGUAGAUGGCACGGUAAAAAUCCUGCCUUUACCCCUCUCGAACCGUCUUUAAAUACUGGCAUGCCCGGCACUUCUUCUUCACAAGUUAGUAACUUCCUUUACGGCGCAUUAGCUUCCAUCUUCU